CGAAGAUACGCGAAGAACCUUACCUAGCCUUGACAUAUAUUAGAACUCAGUAGAGAUACAGAGGUGCCUUCGGGAGCUUUUAUACAGGUGCUGCACGGCUGUCGUCAGCUCGUGUCGUGAAAUGUUGGGUUAAGUCCCGCAACGAGCGCAACCCUCGUCACUAGUUACUAACGGUUCGGCCGAGGACUCUAGUGAGACUGCCUUCGUAAGGAGGAGGAAGGUGAGGACGACGUCAAGUCAUCAUGGCCCUUACGGCUAGGGCAACACACGUGCUACAAUGGCCAGGACAGUGAGACGCGAUACCGCGAGGUGGAGCAAAUCUAUAAACCUGGUCUCAGUUCGGAUUGUAGUCUGCAACUCGACUACAUGAAGCUGGAAUCACUAGUAAUCGUAGAUCAGCUAUGCUACGGUGAAUACGUUCCCGGGUCUUGUACUCACCGCCCGUCACACCAUGGGAGUUGAUUUCACCCGAAGCGGGGAAGCUAAACUGGCUACCCUCCACGGUGGAAUCAGCGACUGGGGUGAAGUCGUAACAAGGUA
rnacentral:rRNA from 1 species